rnacentral:other from 1 species
UGCUUCCUACUUGGUACGAAGAUUUAUUUGGUUUUGAUCCUAAUUUUAAUAAGGGAUUGCCAAUAGUAUAGGCUAGUAGGUCAUGCCCUGCUCACGCAGGUAAGACCCAAUACCUAAUGAGGUUUCCCACCUGCGUGAGCAGGGUCAAACCAAAGAGUCUAAACGGCCUAUGUGGGUAAAAU